rnacentral:rRNA from 1 species
GACGUAGGGCGCGAGCGUUGUCCGGAUUUAUUGGGCGUAAAGAGCUCGUAGGCGGUCUGUCGCGUCGGCUGUGAAAACCUGGGGCUUAACCCCGGGCCUGCAGCCGAUACGGGCAGACUAGAGUACGGCAGGGGAGACUGGAAUUCCUGGUGUAGCGGUGAAAUGCGCAGAUAUCAGGAGGAACACCGGUGGCGAAGGCGGGUCUCUGGGCCGAAACUGACGCUGAGGAGCGAAAGCGUGGGGAGCAAACAGG